rfam:Kluyvera ascorbata ATCC 33433 GKAS.assembly.034, whole genome shotgun sequence.
UUUUCCGUGUUGAACCUGGAAUAACAAGGAUAUUUACGGAAUGACCAGUUUUGUCUGUCCGAUCAUCCACGCAGCAAUGGCGUAAGACGUAUUGAUCUUUCAGACAGUUAGCGGGCUGCGAGUUGCAGUCCUUACCGGUACAUAUACUGUACGAAUUUUAGAUGGCAGACAGAAAACGCAACGGGAAACAUCCGUGCAGACCUCUACCUUCUGAAAGAUGACGAGUAUAAAUGGAAUCUUCUCUGGAGAGUUAUCCCAGGCUGUUCCCCAAAUAAUUGCGCUGUGUUUCCGCUUGAAACACAGGCUACCGACACUCUGCGCCUCUUAAGCGAGCGACAACCGUGAGGUUGGCGACGUGAAUAGUCACGAGGCCAUCGGUUUACCCCGGAAAGGCAACACUCUGCUCGCAGCUUAGUCGUCAA